GAUGAACGCUGGCGGCGUGCCUAAUACAUGCAAGUCGAGCGAACAGACGAGGAGCUUGCUCCUCUGACGUUAGCGGCGGACGGGUGAGUAACACGUGGAUAACCUACCUAUAAGACUGGGAUAACUUCGGGAAACCGGAGCUAAUACCGGAUAAUAUAUUGAACCGCAUGGUUCAAUAGUGAAAGACGGUUUUGCUGUCACUUAUAGAUGGAUCCGCGCCGCAUUAGCUAGUUGGUAAGGUAACGGCUUACCAAGGGGACGAUGCGUAGCCGACGGGAGAGGGGGGUAGGCCACCUGGGAACGGAGACACGGACCAGGGUACUAAGGGAGGGCGCAGUAGGGAAUCGUCCGCAAUGGGGGGAAACCUUGCGGAACAACCGCGCGGGAGAUGUGGAAGUGCUGCGAGCGGGAAAACGUGUUAUGAGGGAAGAACAAAUGUGUAAGUAACUAUGCACGUCUUGACGGUACCUAAUCAGAAAGCCACGGCUAACUACGUG
rnacentral:rRNA from 1 species